rnacentral:ribozyme from 16 species
UUUAUCUUUGUCUAGAUUUUCAAGUUCGUCCUUGAUAAUUGGAGGAACCCAGUAAGGAUUGUUCUUAUAGAUAGAAAAAGGAAACUUCACAAAUUGCUUCAUUCCCUUUUUUGUAGUAAUCUCUUGAAUGCUAAUCAUAGCACGAAAAUAUAAAAUCUAACCGUCGUUGUCGUCUUUUUUUUC